rnacentral:siRNA from 1 species
UAUCGGGCGGAGCAGAUCAUG